AAAAGCCAAAAGAUAGCUACUUUCGUUUUCUUUAUAUACAUAAAAUAAGAGACAUUGGUGAGAGCAGAGGAGGAGAUCAGGAGUAAAGAGUUAAGGAGGAGAUUUUGAUUUCAAAAGAUUUAGUUUAGCAAGAUUGAUUAUCUGGAAGACGAGCUUGAUUAUUCAACUUAAAUUGGAACGUGGUGCACUGAAAGAAUUCUGGAGAAGAAUAUUCAGGCAAGGAUAAAAGUGUGAUGAAAUGAAGUGCUAGACUUGGUUGGAUUUGCAAGUAGAAGUUUAGUAGAAGUAUUAUGUAAUCGAAAGAAAUAUUAGUGAACUUUUAGAAGAGUGAUGUAAGACUCUGAUGUAAGGUAAAAUAUGCUUUUAAAUUAUAUCAAGUUUAUGAUUAUAAAGAUA